rnacentral:rRNA from 1 species
UACGUAGGGGGCAAGCGUUGUCCGGAUUUAUUGGGCGUAAAGAGCGUGUAGGCGGCCAGGUAGGUCUGCUGUGAAAACUCGAGGCUCAACCUCGAGAUGUCGGCGGAAGCCAUCUGGCUAGAGUCCGGAAGAGGAGAAUGGAAUUCCCGGUGUAGCGGUGAAAUGCGCAGAUAUCGGGAAGAACACCCGUGGCGAAGGCGGUUCUCUGGGACGGUACUGACGCUGAGACGCGAAAGCGUGGGGAGCGAACAGG